GUGAGUCAAUUGCAGAGGUGGCGACAGGUGAGGCAUUGCUUGAUGCCUUUCCCCACCCUUGGGGUGAGAGGUGAACUUAUUUGAACACACCUCUGAACCCUGGAUCUCUGCUGACCAAGGACAAUAACUGUGAGUGAGGUGCAGGGAAGGAAGAGGGGAGUGGUUUGUUUGUUGGACUUUCACACCGCAAGGAAGGGAGCAGCCCUGGUUCUGGAAACAACCAACACCAGUUGCUUUCUGUUACACUAAUGGAAAGUAACAUACAUAAUAAACGGGAGACAGAUCCCAUGGUACAUCAAGAAACUACUGCUCGAGGGGAAAAAUAUAUUAUCUUCAGCCAACCAAGCUUCUGUCUCACAUAAUAGAUGGGCGUAAAGAUGAGAACAAAACAAUAGCAGAAAGGAAGGCAGACACUGUUGAUGACAAACAGACCAAUGAAAAUACUGCAGAAGUCAUCGUCAUUGAUACAGAAAGGAGAAGCUUGUCAAGAGCGCUUUUCACAGAGUAAGCCACUGUCCCUGAAGAGAUUUUAAGGGAUAAGGAAGGCACUUGAAGGAGAGAGUGCAUAACAGCUGCUAGAGCAGGAGCUAGUCAUGUGAUCAUGCCUAUGAAUGAGAUGAGGAAAUGAAACCAUCUGUCCACAGAGCCCUGUCCAGUGCAAAAAGCAAACAAACUGAAGAGAGAGGAAAAAAUAAUCAUUGCCUAAUCCCUCUCUAAUGUUCAGUGAUCUGUGCAGUUACUUGUGAAACUUCUGCAAUAUGGCCAAUCCCAAACAUCCAAAAUGAGUA